CGGGACGGGUGAGUAACGCGUGGGGAACCUGCCCUGUACAGGGGGAUAACACUUAGAAAUAGGUGCUAAUACCGCAUAAGCGCACAGUAUCGCAUGAUACAGUGUGAAAAACUCCGGUGGUACAGGAUGGACCCGCGUCUGAUUAGCUGGUUGGCGGGGUAACGGCCCACCAAGGCGACGAUCAGUAGCCGGCCUGAGAGGGUGAACGGCCACAUUGGAACUGAGAUACGGUCCAGACUCCUACGGAAGGCAGCAG
rnacentral:rRNA from 1 species